AACGAACGCUGGCGGCAGGCUUAACACAUGCAAGUCGAGCGCUCCGCAAGGGGAGCGGCAGACGGGUGAGUAACGCGUGGGAAUCUACCCAUCUCUACGGAAUAACGCAUGGAAACGUGUUCGAAUACCGUAUACGUCCCUCGGGAGAAAGAUUUAUCGGAGAUGGAUGGGCCCGCGUUGGAUUAGCUAGUUGGUGGGGUAAAGGCCUACCAAGGCGACGAUCCAUAGCUGGUCUGAGAGGAUGAUCAGCCACACUGGGACUGGAGACACGGCCCAGACUCCUACGGGAGGCAGCAGUGGGGAAUAUUGGACAAUGGGCGCAAGCCUGAUCCAGCCAUGCCGCGUGAGUGAUGAAGGCCCUAGGGUUGUAAAGCUCUUUCACCGGUGAAGAUAAUGACGGUACCCGGAGAAGAAGCCCCGGCUAACUUCGUGCCAGCCGCCGCGGUAAAAC
rnacentral:rRNA from 1 species